CCUUGACACCCCUACACUUCCUAAAAUACACCCUGUAUGUGAAAAACAAGCCCGAAAUACAAUAUAUAAAUUAAAAACAAGAAAUAGUAAGUUGAGGCGGGCCGCGUAGACCCACCCCAACCAUUCACGCGGGCCGUAUGAGGGUUAUACCGGAUUCCCUUGAUUUCUUAAGUUCAAGCGGGCCGCGUAAAGAUCCCCGUUAGUUUACGCGGGCCGCGCGUGUUCCAAAUGGUGGCGCAACUCUGAGCUGACACGUGUCGAUAUCGUGUCGAGUCUACUUGGUGACCAGGCUAAGCUACGCAGUUGACCGGAGUCAACGCGGGCCGCGUAAGCCCAGUCCAUAUUUUACGCGGGCCGCGAGAGAGUCCAGUAUCAGCCCUAUAAAUUGGAUCGUCGAGCCUUCAGUCUGCUUCGUUCAAAAUCAAUUCUUUCUCUCUCAAAAUUAAAUAGUGGGCAUUAUACGCGGGUAUUAUACCCCCUAAUUAGCGAAGCUCUGCCUCGUUAUUAUAACCAGGAAGCCACAAAGGAAAUACCUAAAAUAGCAAUGUAACUUAGUAUGAAGCACAUAAAAGCCAGCUGGAGAGCACUGAAGGCUUAGAAAAGUGGCUAUAAAAGUUACCUAAAUAAAAGAAAGUGUUUACUUCAAUAAAAUGGGAUUUAUCCCUGUAAAUCAGUUUGUAAUGAAAACUUGGGUUUUACCCAUGUGAUUAUAAAAAUAAAAAUGUGGUGGUUUACUCU